UACGGAGGGUGCAAGCGUUAUCCGGAUUCACUGGGUUUAAAGGGUGCGUAGGCGGGCUGUUAAGUCAGUGGUGAAAUCUCCGGGCUCAACCCGGAAACUGCCAUUGAUACUAUCAGUCUUGAAUAUCGUUGAGGUAGGCGGAAUAUGUCAUGUAGCGGUGAAAUGCUUAGAUAUGACAUAGAACACCGAUUGCGAAGGCAGCUUACUAAACGAUCAUUGACGCUGAGGCACGAAAGCGUGGGGAUCAAACAGGAUUAGAAACCCCCGUAGUCC
rnacentral:rRNA from 1 species